UGGGCAGCGUGGGACAUCUCAGACUCGUGAAGGAACUGCAUCUCCUGCAGCUCCAUCAGCUUGCCGUGAUCCUUGAUGUGGGCAUAGUUGGCAGCAAGACACAUCAGAUAGUGCACCUGUGGGAGAGCAAUAAGAAAUUAGAAUUGACUGAGAAACCAGAAAAGGGACUGCACUUGAAAAAGCACAAGAACCAAGAAAUUUACAUCAUUAAAUGAAAUGACAACAAAUCUAAAGCAGGAGGCGUUGCAGAAAGAGCGCGAGAUCACUGUGUUGUGGGAGAAGACAGAGUCCCUUAGUGGUCAGCUGGUGACGGUCCACAACCACAGCCACUUUGAAGAGAAUGGCCUGAGCCACCGACCACCUUGCUCAAGAAAAUAUCACGUUGACAGAGCUGAUUAAAGAACUAGAAGAUAAGCUCAAACUUUCAAAGAUAGAAAUCAAAGACGUCACAAGACAGAAUAGUGAGCUGCAUGCACUUAUCACAGAGUAUAAAGUCACUCCCUCAGAGGAAAAAGACAAGGAUGGCACCUCUUCAUGUGAGAACUCAGAAGCUAAAUGUACAGAUACCAAGGGGAAAUUGCUGGGUCAAGUGGCUACACUGACAUCUGAGGUUAGCAGGUUGGAGAGUGAGUGCAGCAGUCUUCAGGUUCAGGCUAGACUGUGAGAGGGAUAAGUAUAAACAAACUGCUGGGAGAAUCUCUUGCUCAUGAAAA